UUGGAAGGUACAGGCCACAUGUGCCGGCUGUGUUUCCACUCCUCAGGACCGGACCCAUGCAUAAUAUUCCUCCAUCUUCAUUGAUCCCACAAUUCUCCCUGAAAAGAAACAUCAAUUCGAGGUCGAAUUUCCCCACAACAGCAAAAAAUGAAAACCCUAGAUUCGAACAAUUGGCAUGGACUGCUAAAGAGAGACCAACGACAAAAUCG
rnacentral:lncRNA from 1 species